rnacentral:rRNA from 1 species
GACGAACGCUGGCGGCGUGCUUAACACAUGCAAGUCGAACGGGAAGGCCCUGCUUUUGUGGGGUGCUCGAGUGGCGAACGGGUGAGUAACACGUGAGUAACCUGCCCUUGACUUUGGGAUAACUUCAGGAAACUGGGGCUAAUACCGGAUAGGAGCUCCUGCUGCAUGGUGGGGGUUGGAAAGUUUCGGCGGUUGGGGAUGGACUCGCGGCUUAUCAGCUUGUUGGUGGGGUAGUGGCUUACCAAGGCUUUGACGGGUAGCCGGCCUGAGAGGGUGACCGGCCACAUUGGGGCUGAGAUACGGCCCAGACUCCUACGGGAGGCAGCAGUGGGGAAUAUUGCACAAUGGGCGGAAGCCUGAUGCAGCAACGCCGCGUGCGGGAUGACGGCCUUCGGGUUGUAAACCGCUUUCGCCUGUGACGAAGCGUGAGUGACGGUAAUGGGUAAAGAAGCACCGGCUAACUACGUG